UACGUAUGGGGCAAGCGUUAUCCGGAACUAUUGGGCGUAAAGAGUGCGUAGGUGGUUACCUAAGCGCAAGGUUUAAUCUUGAGGCUCAACCUCAUUCUGCCUUGCGAACUGGGCUACUUGAGUGCUGGAGGGGAAAGCGGAAUUCCCAGUGUAGCGGUGAAAUGCGUAGAUAUUGGGAAGAACACCGGUGGCGAAGGCGGCUUUCUGGACAGUAACUGACACUGAGGCACGAAAGCGUGGGGAGCAAACAGG
rnacentral:rRNA from 1 species